UGGCUAGGCCCCCCUUCUCCUUUCAUUCCCUUCUUCCUUCCUUCUUGGGAUUCAGAAUUGCUCUCUGGGCAGAGGGCUGCGGAGCAGGAGCGAGGCUGCAGGUGUGAGAAGGACCCCGCCGUGCCAGGGCAGCCUCAAGGAGCUGUUGAGCGAGUUGAGCCCAGAAGACAAAGGUCGCUGAAGUCCUUCCAGGAGAAGAAGAUCAAUGCCUGGGCUGAGCCUGCGGUUAACAUCUUAAUAGUAACCGGAGAGUUUCUGAGAGAUUAGGCUCACAUACCUCUCAGAGUCCAGGAGGCAGUGAGGGAAAGCUUUUAAUUCAAAGCCCUAUCCAUCUUCCCAACUCAGGCCCUUCUGCCCCCUUUGUCAGUGUGCCCUUGUGGGAAGCCGGUGCGUUUCCAGGGGAGCUGCUGGAGGCUUCUUAUGGCAUGCAGAUCAAGGAAG
ensembl:lncRNA novel transcript, intronic to WDR25